GAAACCAGAAGGCAAAGGUUAAUUUGCCCAAGAUCACACAAGUAGCAUAUCUUUGGAAGGAAUUUCAACUCAGGUCAUCUAGAACCAAAUUGAAUGAAAUGUUAAGUUCUAGAAUAUGGUAGGUCGCUAGGAGAUAAAAGUUUAUAGGUCUGGGGAAGGACACAAGAGAAAGUUAUGAGAAAGAAAUGGCAAGAGAUGAAGUGAUUAUCCAGACAGAUAUACAAGUCAAAGAUACAUCUGUUCACUGCCUGUGAAAAAUCAAAUUCCAAGUAGCUAAUGAAUUUGAAGGGUGUGCAACAAAAUUCACAUCUCUGAUCAGCAUCAAAGAUUGAUGGAACCUGGCAGAUGGAAAUUUUAUUCUACCUACUUAUAUAACACAACUCAAAGCAGAAUGCAAUACACCAUCUAUGAUAUUCUACAAUCCAUUUAUGCCUGAUUUGCAUGUCUCCAUUGCUUCCUGGAUGAUGAGCAAAAUUUCUUAAAAAGAUUGGAAUAUUCCUUAAUUCACAACUAUAUAGCACCGUCUAAAAUCUAUUGUAAAAAAUGGA